rnacentral:rRNA from 1 species
GACGAACGCUGGCGGCGUGCUUAACACAUGCAAGUCGAACGGAAAGGCCCUGCUUUUGUGGGGUGCUCGAGUGGCGAACGGGUGAGUAACACGUGAGUAACCUGCCCUUGACUUUGGGAUAACUUCAGGAAACUGGGGCUAAUACCGGAUAGGAGCUCCUGCUGCAUGGUGGGGGUUGGAAAGUUUCGGCGGUUGGGGAUGGACUCGCGGCUUAUCAGCUUGUUGGUGGGGUAGUGGCUUACCAAGGCUUUGACGGGUAGCCGGCCUGAGAGGGUGACCGGCCACAUUGGGACUGAGAUACGGCCCAGACCCCUACGGGGGGGAGCGGUGGGGAAUAUUGCAAAAUGGGGGGAAGCCUGAUGCAGAAACGCCGCGUGGGGGAGGACGGCCUUCGGGUUGUAAACCGCUUUCGCCUGUGACGAAGCGUGAGUGACGGUAAUGGGUAAAGAAGCACCGGCUAACCACGU